rnacentral:rRNA from 1 species
AAAACACAGCACUCUGCAAACACGAAAGUGGACGUAUAGGGUGUGACGCCUGCCCGGUGCUGGAAGGUUAAUUGAAGAUGUGCAAGCAUUGGAUCGAAGCCCCAGUAAACGGCGGCCGUAACUAUAACGGUCCUAAGGUAGCGAAAUUCCUUGUCGGGUAAGUUCCGACCCGCACGAAUGGCGUAACGAUGGCCACACUGUCUCCUCCUGAGACUCAGCGAAGUUGAAAUGGUUGUGAAGAUGCAAUCUCCCCGCUGCUAGACGGAAAGACCCCGUGAACCUUUACUGUAGCUUUGCAUUGGACUUUGAAGUCACUUGUGUAGGAUAGGUGGGAGGCUAAGAAGCAGACACGCUAGUGACUGUGGAGCCAUCCUUGAAAUACCACCCUGGUGACUUUGAGGUUCUAACCCGGAUCCAUGAACUGGAUCGGGGACCGUGCAUGGUAGGCAGUUUGACUGGGGCGGUCUCCUCCCAAAGAGUAACGGAGGAGUUCGAAGGUUACCUAGGUCCGGUCGGAAAUCGGACUGAUAGUACAAUGGCACAAGGUAGCUUAACUGCGAGACCGACAAGUCGAGCAGGUGCGAAAGCAGGACAUAGUGAUCCGGUGGUUCUGAAUGGAAGGGCCAUCGCUCAACGGAUAAAAGGUACUCCGGGGAUAACAGGCUGAUUCCGCCCAAGAGUUCAUAUCGACGGCGGAGUUUGGCACCUCGAUGUCGGCUCAUCACAUCCUGGGGCUGUAGUCGGUCCCAAGGGUAUGGCUGUUCGCCAUUUAAAGUGGUACGUGAGCUGGGUUUAAAACGUCGUGAGACAGUUUGGUCCCUAUCUGCAGUGGGCGUUGGAAGUUUGACGGGGGCUGCUCCUAGUACGAGAGGACCGGAGUGGACGAACCUCUGGUGUACCGGUUGUGACGCCAGUCGCAUCGCCGGGUAGCUAAGUUUGGAAGAGAUAAACGCUGAAAGCAUCUAAGCGUGAAACUCGCCUGAAGAUGAGACUUCCCUAGGGAUAUAAUCCCUCUAAAGAGACGUUCGAGACCAGGACGUUGAUAGGUCGGGUGUGGAAGAGUGGUAACACUUGCAGCUAACCGAUACUAAUUGCUCGUGAGGCUUGACUCUAU